GUAAAGCACUUUCAUAGGGAGGAAGGUAGUGUAGUUAACACCUGCAUUAUUUGACGUUACCUUACACGAAGAAAGCACCGGCUAACUCCGUGCCAGCAGCCGCGGUAAUACGGAGGGUGCGAGCGUUAAUCGGAAUUACUGGGCGUAAAGCGCAUGCAGGCGGCCUGUUAAGUCAGAUGUGAAAGACCCGGGGCGUUAACCUCCGGAAUUGCAUUUGAAACUGGCAGGCUAGAGUCUUGUAGAGGGGGGUAGGAAUUUCAGGUGUAGCGGUGAAAUGCGUAGAGAUCUGAAGGAAUACCAGUGGCGAAGGCGGCCCCCUCGGACAAAGACUGACGCUCAGAUGCGAAAGCGUGGGGAGCAAACAGGAUUAGAUACCCCUGGUAG
rnacentral:rRNA from 1 species